AACACAUGCAAGUCGAACGAUGCUUUCGGGCAUAGUGGCGCACGGGUGCGUAACGCGUGGGAAUCUGCCCUUGGGUUCGGAAUAACAGUUGGAAACGACUGCUAAUACCGGAUGAUGACGUAAGUCCAAAGAUUUAUCGCCCAGGGAUGAGCCCGCGUAGGAUUAGGUAGUUGGUGUGGUAAAGGCGCACCAAGCCGACGAUCCUUAGCUGGUCUGAGAGGAUGAUCAGCCACACUGGGACUGAGACACGGCCCAGACUCCUACGGGAGGCAGCAGUGGGGAAUAUUGGACAAUGGGCGAAAGCCUGAUCCAGCAAUGCCGCGUGAGUGAUGAAGGCCUUAGGGUUGUAAAGCUCUUUUACCCGGGAUGAUAAUGACAGUACCGGGAGAAUAAGCUCCGGCUAACUCCGUGCCAGCAGCCGCGGUAAUACGGAGGGAGCUAGCGUUAUUCGGAAUUACUGGGCGUAAAGCGCACGUAGGCGGCUUCGUAAGUAAGAGGUGAAAGCCCGGGGCUCAACCCCGGAAUUGCCUUUUAGACUGCAUCGCUUGAAUCAUGGAGAGGUCAGUGGAAUUCCGAGUGUAGAGGUGAAAUUCGUAGAUAUUCGGAAGAACACCAGUGGCGAAGGCGGCUGACUGGACAUGUAUUGACGCUGAGGUGCGAAAGCGUGGGGAGCAAAC
rnacentral:rRNA from 1 species